rnacentral:rRNA from 1 species
GACGAACGCUGGCGGCGUGCUUAACACAUGCAAGUCGAACGGAAAGGCCCUGCUUUUGUGGGGUGCUCGAGUGGCGAACGGGUGAGUAACACGUGAGUAACCUGCCCUUGACUUUGGGAUAACUUCAGGAAACUGGGGCUAAUACCGGAUAGGAGCUCCUGCUGCAUGGUGGGGGUUGGAAAGUUUCGGCGGUUGGGGAUGGACUCGCGGCUUAUCAGCUUGUUGGUGGGGUAGUGGCUUACCAAGGCUUUGACGGGUAGCCGGCCUGAGAGGGUGACCGGCCACAUUGGGGCUGAGAUACGGCCCAGACUCCUACGGGAGGCAGCAGUGGGGAAUAUUGCACAAUGGGCGGAAGCCUGAUGCAGCAACGCCGCGUGCGGGAUGACGGCCUUCGGGUUGUAAACCGCUUUCGCCUGUGACGAAGCGUGAGUGACGGUAAUGGGUAAAGAAGCACCGGCUAACUACGUGCCAGCAGCCGCGGUGAUACGUAGGGUGCGAGCGUUGUCCGGAUUUAUUGGGCGUAAAGGGCUCGUAGGUGGUUGAUCGCGUCGGAAGUGUAAUCUUGGGGCUUAACCCUGAGCGUGCUUUCGAUACGGGUUGACUUGAGGAAGGUAGGGGAGAAUGGAAUUCCUGGUGGAGCGGUGGAAUGCGCAGAUAUCAGGAGGAACGCCAGUGGCGAAGGCGGUUCUCUGGGCCUUUCCUGACGCUGAGGAGCGAAAGCGUGGGGAGCGAACAGGCUUAGAUACCCUGGUAGUCCACGCUGUAAACGGUGGGUACUAGGUGUGGGGUCCAUUCCACGGGUUCCGUGCCGUAGCUAACGCUUUAAGUACCCCGCCUGGGGAGUACGGCCGCAAGGCUAAAACUCAAAGGAAUUGGCGGGGCCCCGCACAAGCGGCGGAGCAUGCGGAUUAAUUCGAUGCAACGCGUAGAACCUUACCUGGGUUUGACAUGGAUCGGGAGUGCUCAGAGAUGGGUGUGCCUCUUUUGGGGUCGGUUCACAGGUGGUGCAUGGCUGUCGUCAGCUCGUGUCGUGAGAUGUUGGGUUAAGUCCCGCAACGAGCGCAACCCUUGUUCACUGUUGCCAGCACGUUAUGGUGGGGACUCAGUGGAGACCGCCGGGGUCAACUCGGAGGAAGGUGGGGAUGACGUCAAGUCAUCAUGCCCCUUAUGUCCAGGGCUUCACGCAUGCUACAAUGGCUGGUACAGAGAGUGGCGAGCCUGUGAGGGUGAGCGAAUCUCGGAAAGCCGGUCUCAGUUCGGAUUGGGGUCUGCAACUCGACCUCAUGAAGUCGGAGUCGCUAGUAAUCGCAGAUCAGCAACGCUGCGGUGAAUACGUUCCCGGGGCU